rnacentral:rRNA from 1 species
CCUACGGGUGGCUGCAGUGGGGAAUAUUGGACAAUGGGGGCAACCCUGAUCCAGCCAUGCCGCGUGUGUGAAGAAGGCCCUCGGGUUGUAAAGCACUUUCAGUGAGGAAGAACGCCUGGUGGUUAAUACCCAGCAGGAAAGACAUCACUCACAGAAGAAGCACCGGCUAACUCCGUGCCAGCAGCCGCGGUAAUACGGAGGGUGCGAGCGUUAAUCGGAAUUACUGGGCGUAAAGCGCGCGUAGGUGGCUUGAUAAGCCGGUUGUGAAAGCCCCGGGCUCAACCUGGGAACGGGCAUCCGGAACUGUCAAGCUAGAGUGCAGGAGAGGAAGGUAGAAUUCCCGGUGUAGCGGUGAAAUGCGUAGAGAUCGGGAGGAAUACCAGUGGCGAAGGCGGCCUUCUGGACUGACACUGACACUGAGGUGCGAAAGCGUGGGUAGCAAACAGGAUUAGAUACCCCUGUAGUC